rnacentral:rRNA from 1 species
CACUUCUAAGGAAGGCAGCAGGCGCGCAAAUUACCCAAUCCUGACUCAGGGAGGUAGUGACAAGAAAUAACAAUAAACCGGCUUAUGCCGGUUUAAUUGGAAUGAGUACAAUUUAAACAUCUUAACGAGGAACAAUUGGAGGGCAAGUCUGGUGCCAGCAGCCGCGGUAAUUCCAGCUCCAAUAGCGUAUACUAAAGUUGUUGCAGUUAAAAAGCUCGUAGUUGGAUUUCUGUGGGGACGGAGCGGCCGGCCGCAACACGCGGUUCGAGCUAGCGCUUUCCCUACAUCCUGCCGCGAACCGUGCUACCAUUAAUUUGGUGGCGCCGGGGAUCGGCUCGAUUACUUUGAGAAAAAUAGAGUGUUCAAAGCAGGCCACAUGCCUUGAAUAAGUUAGCAUGGAAUAAUAACUAAGGACUUCGGUUCUAUUUUGUUGGUGUUCGGGACUGAAGUAAUGAUUGAUAGGGACAGUUGGGGCGGUCUGUAUUCCAAAGCGAGAGGUGAAAUUCUUAGACCUUCGGAAGACAAACAGCUGCGAAAGCGUUCCGCAAGGAUGUUCCCUUUGAUCAAGAACGAAGGUUGGGGGAUCGAAGACGAUCAGAUACCGUCGUAGUCUCAACUAUAAACUAUACCAGCUAGGGAUCGGCCAACGUUAUUUCAUACCGACUUGGUCGGCACCUUAUGAGAAAUCAAAGCAUCUGGGUUCCGGGGGGAGUAUGGUCGCAAGGCUGAAACUUAAAGGAAUUGACGGAAGGGCACCACCAGCCGUGGAGCCUGUGGCUUAAUUUGACUCAACACGGGAAAACUUACCAGGUCCAGACAUAGUAAGGAUUGACAGAUUGAUAGCUCUUUCUUGAUUCUGUGGGUGGUGGUGCAUGGCCGUUCUUAGUUGGUGGAGUGAUUUGUCUGGUUAAUUCCGUUAACGAACGAGACCCCAGCCUGCUAAAUAGCGCGCGUGAGCUUUGCUCGCGGCGAGCUUCUUAGAGGGACUAUGAUGCGCGAUAGCACAUGGAAGUUUGGGGCAAUAACAGGUCUGUGAUGCCCUUAGAUGUUCUGGGCCGCACACGGGCUACACUGGCGCCUGCAACGAGCAUAUCAGCUGGCCCGAGAGGGUCUUGGCUAAUCUUUUGAACCGGCGCCGUGCUUGGGAUUGACCUUUGCAAUUGUUGGUCAUGCAACGAGGAAUGCCUUGUAAACGCGAGUCAACAGCUCGCAUUGAAUACGUCCCUGCCCUUUGUACACACCGCCCGCCGCUCCUACCGAUGAAUGUUCCGAUGAAAUUUUCGGAGAGCACCUGUGAACUUGGCUCUGCCUUGCGAACGGGAGGCUCAAAGUCACUUAAAUCUGAACAUUUCGAGG